UGUGAGGGGAGAAAAAAUGGAGCUGCCAAGGAAUUGAAAUGGAAGAGACAGAGAGGAAGGAGGUUUCUCCAUGCUAGGAGUGCACAGCAGGAAAAGCAGGGUAUGUGUGAGAGAAAUCCCAGGCACGGUGCUGGAGCGGGGCAGUGUGGGUGUGUCACCAAGGAUAGUCAUAAUUCUGCUGUUCUCGUGACUCAGUCUUAUCAGCUCCCCACUCUCCAUCCUUUCCUGAGGGAUGGCUGCGGGGAGGGGUGUAUGAGAACUGCCGUGGAUCUUCUGCAAGCUGCGACAUAUGCCAUGUCUGCUGUGCGCCUCAGCCCGUAUGAGAUGCGAGGACCGCAGGUUCUAGAUCGGACCGACUGAGGAUCCCAGGCACAGCACAAUCCCCAGCCCAGAGUAUGUUCCUUCAGCAUGAUACGCUGCCGACCAGAAAGGAAGCUGAAGGCACUGAGAAAGAAGCCCAUUGGUUUCCACGGUGAUGGUGACAUGCAGCCUUGACUCCUUGAUUCACCAGUGUUCCGGUCUACUGAUUCAGUUCCUGCCUUGUGACCUUCCUGCAUCCAAAGCCUUCCUAUCCCAGGCUGCAGACACCUUGACCAGCACAGCUGAGAAUGGUCUCAGACACCCUUGGCCUCCCUUAGACCACUCCAAGUCCCAGCUACACUCUGUAUUUGGAGCUUUCCUGCGUAUCUUGCUGCUGUUGUGUUUUCUUGCCACUUAACUUAUGACGGUGUGGCCUCAUCUAGGAAGCACAUACAAUGCAUGUCCUAUGGUUUUCACAUGGUUAUUCCUGGACCAUGACUACAGCCAGCCCACGGUCUUUGGAUCUCAUCUGUCCUUGGAUGGAGCUCUAUCCUCCAUGGAGUAGAACCUGUGCAGUAUGAUGAACAGUCAGGUAAAUCCCAAUUGAAGAUGAAUAUGCUUAGUAAGGGGUUUUGAGAAUACUUCCUUUUUAGGUUUCUUGUGUGCAAAAGUCUAAUAUCAAAGUCUAACCAGGACACCGGGAAGCUGGUAUUGACAGUAUACAGUUGAUAGUAUACAGUGACAUAGCUUUCUGUUACUGUAACAAAAUGCCUGUCACAAUCAAGUUAUGAAGUUUGUUUGGGCUCAGUUUCAGUCCAUGGUCACUUGGCCAGUUUGUCUGUGACUGUCCUAAAUACGGCACAAGAGACAGACUUUAAAAAAACAACUGUGCAUCGUUUCUCUGAAGUCAAGAAGCGACUGGAACCUGAUAAGGCAGGGUCGAGAGGCAAUGAGGAGCAUGUGAGGACAGAGUUGUGAAGGAGACAUGAGGCCUGAUGUGGAAGGAAUAUGAAGCCUCACAUGAAUGACGGUGUGACGCAGAAUAUGAGAAAGGGAGGGCAGGAGGGAGUGCUGCCUCCUGAGUGACCCAUGAAUCCUAACAGGAAGGACAGGGUUACAUCUCUAAGGUUGUAAUCUACCCUGUCCAGACAGCUUUCCUGAACUUGGCACAAAAUGGGGCCAAAAUGGGGGACUCCCUUCUCUUAGUGAGGCUCCCUCUUCUCCAACUGAUCUCUGGAAUACCUCUUCUCACAAAGGAGGUGUCCUCAGAACCUUAAACCUCAGCCAAUGAAACUUUGCCCUAAGAAGAACCCCUUCCCACUCUCCAAGGUGUGUGUGUGUGUAUGUAUGUAUGUAUGUAUGUAUGUAUGUAUGUAUGUAUGUAUAUCACCCUUGACUCACCCAAUGAAGUGUAAUCUCACAAGCUGUUUUGUUAACUAUUGUUUAAGAGAGCUGUGUUCUAAAAGAGCGGUAACACUGAAGAGUUGCAAUGCUGAAAUCCUCAGAGAUUGUCCCUGCCUGGACAGGGACCCAUCUGUUCUGGACUAAGGGAAGAUGUGGACCUCAGAACGCAGCUCUGCUCCUUCCCUGCUUGUUGAGCAGCAGUGUUUCAACAUCCUAAGAGAAGACACAAAAAACAAAACAAAACAAAAACCAGAACCGCAGAGCAGAGGCAUCUAGGCUACAGCACAGGGUCCCGACUCACCAUCCCCACAUGCUGCCUGGUGGGCUGGGCUUUCAUGGAUCCACCAAGGUGAACCUAACAAGUAGGAGGGCUGUGGGCAGCUGCUCCUCUGACAAUUAUAUGGACUUCAUGAAACCAUGUUACGCUCCACCAUGCCAAGGCCACAAAUGCAGAGCUGAAGAGCAAGAGUCUGCUGGAGGGUUGGAGUGUUUUUCUAUUUCUGAGGCAAUGGAAGUACCACUGAGCCAUGUGCCCAGCCAUGCUUCGAGAAGUUUAAUGAUGGAGCUAAUAAAUUGGAAACCCACACAGAGGUUAGGGGGAGUAGGGAAAUGUCUCAGUGGUUAAUAGUAUACACACUGCUCUUGCAGAUGAUCUGAGUUUAGUUCCCCAAAUGAGUGACCUAAGGGUGGCUUGAAGCCCUCAGUUUAUCCUAACACACCAUACACAUGAACACACACACACACACACACACACACACACACACCACAUACCACACAUACCACACAUACCACACAUACCACACAUACCACACAUACCACACAUACCACACAUACCACACAUACCACACAUACCACACAUACCACACACACUCCAUACACACAUACAACACUCACACCAUACACACACCACACACCACACACACCACACACACAUACACACUCACACCACACGCACACACACCACACACACACAUACAACACUCACACCAUACAUACACACCACACACCCCACACAGCACACACACCACACACAUACACACUCACACUACACACACUCAACACACCACACAUACCACACACACUCACACCACUCACACACCAUACACACACACACUCACACCACACACACCAUACACACACACUCCACACACACAUACAACACUCACACCGUACACACACCACACCACACACACACACUCACACUACACACACACCCACACACCACACACACACACCACACACACAUCACACACACCACACACAUAUGCAACACUCACACCAUACACACACUCACACUACACACACACUCACACUACACACACACCCCACACACCACUACACACACACACACCAACACACGCUUACACCACACCACACACUCACACUUUCUCUCUCACACACCCAAACGCACCUUCACAACAUGUUCAGAAGCAACACUCAUGAACAUACAGACACACCACAUACAACAUACUUUGCAAAGCAUGCAUAACACGUGUACACACCUUUGUACAUCACACACAAUAUUCAUACAUAGAUUUAUAUAUAUAUAUAUAUCACAGCAAAACAUCAUCUGUAUAGCACAGGAAAUGCAGGAACCUUCUGUAUAGAACCACACCUUAUAAAAACAUUCAGACAGGACAUAACACCACACACAUACUACCUACAUACUGCAAAAGGCCCCCACGCACAUCACAUGCACACACCAUGGACCACGACUAUACAUAACAUGGACCACACCACGACUGUACAUAACAGUACAAACACACCCAUGCACACAGUUCCUUGAAUUCUGAUCAAUCUAUUUCCUGACUUAUCACAUGGCCAAUAUUUGUUGAGUCUGGGGGAAAAAAUGGAUGUGAGAGCUUUUGCCACCAGGGGGCGCACGUAGCCUAGCUCAAGACUCUGAGACAACGUGGGGACUUCAGCUCCACCUGGGACCCCACAGAGCCCAGAGCCAAGCCUGUCUCCAGCUGCCCCUCCCGAUGAUAAAUGGGGGUGAAGUGAGGGUGGUGCUUUCAGCUCUCAAGCUGACCACCAGCUUAAAGCCACGGGUCUUGCCGCAGAACAGCAGGAGACUCCAAAGUCUCACCCACACAACUCCUCACGAGAAGAUCUUGGCACAACGUUCCCCAGAAACUGGCCUGGAGUCUCAGCUCCCAGAAUCCAAAGCCAGAGCAAUUAAUCACAGGGCCAGCCCCAGCAGAUGCCCCCAGGCCCCAGAUGGGCUCAGAAGCUGUUCUAGAAGUUUCUGUUGCUGUGAGAAAGCACUGACAGACUCCAACAUGGAGGGUUUAUUUCCUCUUCCUACCGGUUACAGUUAAUCAUCAAGUGAAACCAAGGCAGGAACUAAAAGCAGCAUCUGGAAGCAAAGACCACAGAGGACUGCUGGGCAAGGCCUUGCUCUCCGUGCUCCCUUAGCCCAGGCGCACCUGUGUAGAGAAGGCAUUGCCCACAGUGGUCUGGGUCCUCCUUCAUCAAUUACCAGGUAAGACAGUGCUUCACAUGUUCACAGUCCAAACUGACAGCUUCCGUUCUCAGUUAAGGGUCCCUUUUCCCAAAUAUGUCAAGUUGACAACCAAAAUUAGCAACGCAGGGGUUUUUCUGGCAUUCAGGCUGUCCUUCCAAGUGGAACCGAGUCCCAGCCAGCUACCUAAGGCCUAGAAGCAGCCUGAAGUAUGCUAGGCUCUCCAGUCCCCAUGAAGACUUUCAGGGGUGGUGGGUAGAGGAGGAGGAGGAGGAAGAGGAGGAAGAAGAGGAGGGAGAGGAGGAGGGAGAGGAGGAAAAAGGGCCAAGCCCCCAGUGGGAAGUCCAAAGGGGCCCAGAGAACCCCCUGGAAGCUGAGGUACUGAGACCGAGCUGUUCAUGGUCACCCAAUGUACAGAGGACUUAAAUGGCAUCUCAGUGAGAGACCUAGGUCAACAGACUAAGCAUCCUUUGAGGUCACAGCAGGGUUUGGAAGGAGCAGAGGAAGACCCUCAGCUGUCAGGGUCAAGAGACAGAAGAGCAGAAAGAACUCAGCAACUCCAAAGCCUAAAGAAAUUCAUCUGCAGGUGCUGGAAUGCAGUGUGCCUGGGUAGGGGGACAGAUGUCUAGGACAUUUUAUCUCCUAACACAGCGUAGGGGGGGCAGGUGGCUCCAACACCCGGCACCUCACCCCAGGCCUCAGACUCCUCCUUUGUUCUCCCCACCCCCUUACCUUUCUCCUCACUUCAGGAAAUGAAACUCUGCCCCAUACUCCUCUCCUCCCUCCCAAGCCCCACCCUCAGCUCGGGCUCCCACUUCUGCUCUUCUCGUGCCCCUGAGAGGAUUCCAGCAGGACCUAUGGGCUUGGCCUGCCCCUCCGACUUGGGGAGAGUCAGGAUGCACAGGGACACAAGAAGGAGAGUGGAGAGAACCAAAAUUUUUCAGAGCCAGCCUCCAUAACCCCAAGAGAUAGAUGGCCACCGAGAGGGUAGAUGGGUAAGGUAGGCAGAGAGCUAAAGUACAGUAGGACAGGAGCCCCAGUGGGUUGGACAAGUAGGUGGGACUGCCCACACAGCUUCACUGACUCUGGGCAUAAAGCACCUGGCCUGACACCCUCUAGAUGUCCAAACAGGAUUGGCUUGCUGCUACCCAAGAAUACACUCGAUCAGUGGCCUGCCCCUUCAAGCCCACCUGGAUGCCCCAGGUCCCUGAUGGCAAGCAGUCUGCCCUCAACUUGCCAGGACCCCGCUCUACUUCUGGGAGCUCUGCUUUUCUUCUCUGGGUCCCUUUGCAUGUCCUCCAGAAAGACUACAGGGGCUUCUGAGAGGGCCUGGGGCUCUGUCUUCCUGCUCGUGUUCAAAGCAGACUCCCGGAGAAUGGCUCUCUGAGGCUCCCACACCCUUCUCAUUCACCACUGAGGGGCACCACCUACUGCGGCCCCUCUCACAGUCCAGAGCCCAUCUCUAAUUACCACUGACCCACUUCAAACUGAGUCCUGCAGCUUCAUCCCUGAACCUAUCUCAGGGUGGGUGGAAUAGGAGGUGCUGGCUAGCGGAUCAACUGGAGCAAGGUCACAGGGACCAGGCGACCCUGGUCUUUUAGACAGGGUUUCUACUGUGAUGAAGCACUAGGACCAAGGCAACUUAGGGAGGAGUUCAUUUGGCUUACACUUUCCCAUCACAGCUCAUCAUCAAAGAAAGACAGAACAGGUACCAAAAUAGGGCUGCAACCUGGAGGCAGGAGCUGACGCAGAGGUCAUGGAGGAGUGCAGCUAAACGUAUUGCCCAUCUCAGCCUUCCCAGCCUGCUUUCUUAUAGAACCCAUGACCACCAACCCAGGGAUGGCACCACCCAUAAUAAUCUGGGUCGUCCCCCACCAAUCACUAAUUACGAAAAUGCACUACAACUGGAUCUUACGGAGACAUUUUCUCAACUGAGGUCCCUUCCUUUCAGAUAAUUCUAGUUUGUGUCAAGUUGCCCUACAACCAGCCGGCAGGCCUGGCUAGUAUUCACAGUCAGGGCUUUUAACAAUAUUUAAUGCAAUUUUGAGUUAUAAAACAGAAGUUCAGGGAUCCUGAUACAGGAGAAGAAAAGGAGCAGGUGACCCCAGAACCAGCAGAGGCAGCUCUGGUUCUCACACUGAGAAGCUGAACCUUCAAGAAGCAUCGUGAGGGAGGCCUCUGUGGCUGAAGGCAGCCACUCGGCAGGAACAAAGGAUGGUUAGGGACACCUCUGACCAUCCCCAAAGGUACCAAAUUUUUGCAUCUGUAGGACAGUGUGUCACAAAACUCUCUUCCUGCUGGGGUAAAAAGGCCUCUCGCCUCAGUCAAAUCCUUAGACUGCUAAGUUCAGCUACAGCCUGUCAUCCGUGGGCUGUAGAAGGCCUUGUCCCUCAUUGAAGAGGUCACAUUUGCAGAUUAAUAGAAAAUCUGUCCCGGCUUUCUUCUUCUCCAGGCUCAAGAGCACCAUUGUGUCCAGAGCUCCCUGUGGGUAGCUGGCCUGUAGUCCCUCAGAAUGGGUUCUCACUCUCAGAGAACACAACAGGGUCCUUUGCUGUGUAGGUGGAGCAGGCCAAGGAGCCUGGGACCAGAUAAAAGGAAGGCUAGUCUCUCAGCCAGCAACACUGCCCAAGCCUUCCUCAGCAGUGCUGGCCUUUGCCGCUGCCUGGUUAGGGUCUCGGUUGGCCUUCACCUUUAUCUGGCCUCCUCUUGGCCUUGUUGAUGUCAGCCUUGGACUUACUCUUUAGUCUUGAAUUGAGCCUUGGCUGUGCCUUGACCUACUCUAUUCACAGGUAUAAUAAAAGGCACCCAUGGAAAUUUACUUUCAGUCCUAAUGUGUCUAAGUCUCAGAAGAAGUCCCAAUAAGUCGUUUAUUUGGCUCUGUGAACGAGAGCUGCAACAGUAGACCAUUAGUGACAGUGGAAGCUCUGGAAGAUGCUGUGACUGAUCCUGGCAUUGAUGACCUCCAGAACAGCUUCAAGGAGACCCUCUUCUACCUCCAGAGAUGGACCUGGAGAGUCUUGCAGCCCAGGACCCAGAAAGAAGAGUGAGGGUUCCAGCACUGUGGUCCUACUCUGCUUGAGGCUGGCACACAGGCCCCCCCAGGGCUGUACUGGAAGACGGAAUGUUGCGUCUCAGUUCUGCAGGAUUAGUAGGAGUGGCCAGUGGCUCCGGGGAAGCGAGGUGUCAUAGGACAUAACUCGUAGGAACCUGGGCAGCAAAGAAGUGGCCAGAACGAAGAUCCACACGAGCCAGACAGGGUGUCUAGAACCCUGAACUGAGCUUCUAGCAAGGCCUGGCCAAGACAGACAUUCCACAAAUGCCCAUCAAACAACCGGGUGCCUUUUCUAUACUCCACAUCCAUUCAGCACAUGAAUACAAAGCCCGCUUUUUAAAAAGAGUGAGAAGUCAAUGAUAUAAUUCUAUUCUUGGAGAGGCUAAAUCAAGAGGGUCACAAGCUUAGCCUGUUACAUAAAAAGACUUUUUUUUUUUAAACAAAAUCGAGUAUCUACAAACUGUGUACAGACCUUAAGUUCUCCGUGAUAACCCGGGCUUUCUAAUGAGGCAGUUUUAGCACAAAUACUUUUUCCAGGAUUCACAUUUUUCCCCAGGUGGGUUGUGCUGUGCUUGUUUGUUUGUUUGUUUGCUUGUUUGUUUGUUUGUUUUUGAGACUCACAUAGCCAAGGCUAGCCUCAAACUCCCUAAGUUGCCAAGGAUAACUUUGAAUUCCUGAUCUUCCUGCCACUACAUCCCAAGCGCUGAGAUGUACGGGCAUACAACAUCACAGUUUCAUGGGGUGCUGGAGGUUGGACCUAUGGCUUUACACACACUGCUAUCUGAGCUACACGCCCGGAUCUUUAAAACUUUUAUUUUAUUCUUAUUUUAUGUUUGGGUGGUUUCCCUUCAAUACAUGAAUACAUGUGUGCCUGGUGCCGGAGCAGGCCAGAAGAGAGUAUCAGGUCCCUUGGAACUGAGGUUACAGGCAUCGUGCGCUGCCAUGUGGAAGGUAGGAAUUAAAAUCAGGUCCUCGGAAAGAGCAGCCAGUGCUCUGACCACUGAGCCACCUCUCCAGCCCACUUGCCCACAUCCACUGAAGCAUUUCUCCCGAGACAUCGCCGUCACAGCUGCAAACAGUCUGUAGGCCAGACUGCGUUGCUCAGAAAUGCCUUUCUCGCCUGAUCCGUUUAUCCGAAGUAGAAACAUCGCCAAGCUCCUCCAACCCAUUUGCUUGCUUGCGUGUUUUCUGGUCAUUUAUCAUCCAUCUCCACGCUGCCUUCUCCACAGAUCUUGGGUUUGGCUAUGACUGACUAUUCCUGCUUGUCCUCACUAUUUUUGUUUUAAGAAAAGUAUUUUCCCCGAGGUUGUAGCUUAAUGAGGCAGCACACGCCUAGCACAUGUGUCAUCCCGUGUUGGAGUCCUAACCCCUCAGCCACUCUGGAGGAGGAGAUUUGACCUUUUCUGUUUGACCUUCCUGCUUUCUAAACCACACACCGCCUUUAACUCUCAAGCCUUGUGUGUUUGUCGAAUCUCUCCGUUUUCAACAGACUCUCUUUGUAGAAGAGAAUUAGGGUAAGUAUGAGACCUUCCAACUCUGACCUCUAUGUCUAAGAAAAGUUUGGUUUCAGCUCAUCAGAGCUCUUCAGACCCACGUACCCAACCCCCAUCCCUUGCCCAAGCACUGAUUCUGGUCAUGGAUUUGGGUUCGAUGGAAAAGGGACACAGGGAAAGAUCAGAGAGGAAGAGACAGCAGGGAGGAAAGACAGGAGGCAUUGGGCACUCAGGGGAAGGGGGCAAGGAUAGGACAGGACAUGGAGAAAGGGCUCUACAGAUGAGGAAUCUGAAACAAGGCUCAAGAUGACCGAUCCUUGGCCCAGAGCCCUGCCAAGGCCACUUCUGCCCUCCCUGUCGGGAAUGUGGUAUGACUGUGUGAGUGUGCGAGCAAUCCCAUGUUCCGUCUCUACCUCUACAAAGAUGGCUGUGGGCCUAGCUUACCUCUCCAGCCUGUGUCCUUUCAUCCUGGUCAGCUUUAGGAACACCCAGAGCACUGAGCUGGAGCCAAUAGCCAGUGGCUGAGGCACACAAACUGCCAGCAGCUCCUGGGUUUGGGCAAGCUGAGGGUGAAGAUGUCAGAACUUUCAUAAAGUGGUUUUAAACAUGCAUUUAAAAUUAAAUUACUGACCAGGGAGAUGGGUCAGCUUGGUAAAGGCACCUGCUACCGAGCCUGAUGUCCCGAGUUCAAUCCCCAGCACCGACACAGCGGAAAGAACUGACUACAGCAUGUUGUCUGAUGCCCGUAGUCAAACCAAGGCACACACCCACAUGCUUGUGCACACACACACACACACAAAUAAAUGCAAUAAUUUUAAAAAUGUAAUUAUAGUAUAGGGUAUAGUGGUACAUACCUAUAAUCCCAGUGUUUGCGGAGUGGAGGCAGGAGGAUCAGAAGUUGAAGUAACAAGACUAGAUUAUAUGAGACCUUGUCUCAAAAAACAAACAAAUAAAAACAAACAAAAGGAGGGGUGGUUUCAGAAAUGGCUCAGUGGUUAAGAGCACUAGCCGCUCUUACAGAAGACAAGGGGUUUGAAUUCCAGCACCCACAUUUCCAGCUCACAACCAUCUGUAACUCCAGUCCCCAGAGACACAGUGUUCUCUUCUAGCCUCCACGGGCACUGCAUGCAUGUGCAGGCAAAACACCCACAUAUAUGAAAUA